AUCUUUCUCUCUAACCUUCAGCCUGUUCGCCUUUCACAUAGGCACAGUGACACUUCACAGCAUGGUGGGGAAGCUUCAAGACAAAGCCUCCACUGACAUGGGGGCUGGAGUCUAAAGGGAGAUUUCGUUGGAUGUGCACCUGGGUGAGAGAUGGAGACGUUUGCAGAAGGAGUGACCGACGUGAAAGACUACAUUGUCUGGGUCAAUAGAGAAGAAAGUAAAGGAUGCGACUAGGGGUCUUGCUGUCCAUAUACCUUGAUAGUACAGACCUCUGGAUUUUCCCAUCUAUUGGAACAUGAUCACAUCUAACCACCCUCUGCAAGGCUCACAGUAGCUGACUGGGAAUGGAAUGCAGUAUCACAAAUGGAGCAUGAGGCUCAGUUGUUAUGAUUUGAUCCAACAGUGCUUCAGCCAGACCUUCUUGAAAAACAAAAAAUGGAGAAUACCUUAUGCCAUGGCACCAAGUUGCCAAGAAAAUGACUCCUGGAGUGAUUUCUUCCAAGACAGCUCACAUUCACAGCAGGGAACAUAACUACAGAGGAGGAGAGUGGCAGCUGCUGCCUGUGAAUUCAUGCUGAUCUGGGGGAGGCUUCAUAUCCCACACAUAGGCUCUGUGAAUGCUCACGGAUAUAGGGAUGGCUUAACCGUGGGAGAUAAUGUGUCAUGACAAAGUAUUCUUUCUGAAGACCCUUUCAUCACUUAUAUGGCUGCUGCCAAGAACAGAUACCAGGACAAAGACCUACAAAUUGGCCAAUGAUAUCUAUGGUUGGAACAUUAUAUUUUUCUAGUAGUAUCUGAGAGCAUUGGGAAAGCCUUGGAUUUGAAAAGUGCUCCAAGAAGGUGAGCCUGCUUCAUAGUGGUGACAGUGGAGGACAGAAGAUACUUCCUCUUCAGAAGUAGGGGAUGGAUGAACAGCAGGAAGAAAAAAAAACUUAUUACCUGGAGCAUAAGAAAUAUUGUGCCAGUGCCCUUUAACCUCCAUCAUGCAAAAUCUAUGAUUUGAAAACACAGUUGGGUUUAUGUUCUUCGAGGAGCUUUACUUGUAUGCGGCACCCUAUUUCUAAAGAUUUAAAAGAUGGGUACAUGUGUCUGAGAAGACCAAGAGAGCACUAAGUAAGUGUAAGGUUGUUCUAGCGUGAAGAUUCAGCUUUGCUUCAGCAGACAGAUGCUUUUGUAAGAUCGACUGUACCAUGUAAUUCCUGAACUUAUUUUCUAUUUUCUUCCCAUAUGGGUUCAUGUCUAUGGCCUAAAGAUAUACUGCAAUUUUUCCAUCUCAUCUCAUACUUGAUGGAAUAAGACUGGAAUAGCUCUAUUAAGCUUUGUUAAAAAUUUUUGGAAUCUUAGAAAAAUAUAAUAUUUCAAUAUGACUUUACAGGCACACAAAAAAUUCCAAAUCAGCCCAUCAAUCACUGAACACAUUUUAAUGGCUUUCUGAACAAGUAUCAAAAUAACAUUUAUAACCAAGUAUAUUCAGUGAAUUUGAUUUUGAACUUCUGAUUAUUUUAAGAAUCAAAAUAAAAUGGAAGAUAUUUGAAAAAUAAAUAGAUGCAUAAAAAUUAAAUGAAUUACUGGGUGAACACAUGUUUUGAAGAGAUACUUGGGCAAAUAUUUAUGUUUAAUAUUAUGUUAGUUAUAUAUAUUUAAAAUAUGUUCGUCAGUUUAUUCUGCAACUUUUCUUCCUUUGUAGCACACUGGAGAUGUAGAGUGCUACGAAAAUAUCCUAAAAUUCCUUCAUAGUGAUCUUAAUUAUAUUUUAUAAAUUAUUUUUUCUUUUUGUAUCCUGUUAAUAACAUCCCAUUAAUUAACAAUUUGAGGGCAGCAGGCCACUUUAUUAAUAACAUUAUCACUGGCAGUUGAGUUAUUUACAGUAUAAUGUUAAUCUUGGUCCCCUUUUUAUUUUAAAUAAAAAAAUGUGUUAAUGAUUUAUAAAAAUAUAAGGAAAUUAUAAAAUUAUUCAAUGUGCUAUAAACUCCAAAAUCAUUACUGACAUUUUACAAAUGUACUUGAAUGAGAGAAUAAUUAUAACUCAAUUGCUCUUUGUCUCUUAUAAUAUGUGUUGUCCUGUAGUCUGGUAGAAAAACUAAAUAAUACAAUAUAAACAAAGGAAAAGGGAGAAUUCAGCUGCUCAUGAGAUGAUGAGCACUUCAUUUCAGGAAUACUUGAACAGAAGCUUGCUGAUUUCUCGGAAGCAGUGUGGUAGGAAGGAGUGUUGAUGAGAUAGAAGAGAGAAUAUGUGUCUAGGUCCUUCCAUUUUUGAAUUUCCAUAAUCCUUACCAGCUCCAUAUUUCCUACAGAGGUAAUUGUUAUCUCCUACUGAUGGUCUAUCAAGAAAGUCGAUGACUAAAAAUGAAUUGAAACAGGAAGCUUUGGCCUUACACAGGUGGGGUAGGGGAUUUUUUCCCAGGGCAUAAUUGGUUUGAAUGUCUUCAUACACAAACAAGAAACACCAGGAAGAAAAAGUUCACCAAAGGAAUAAGGAAAUUUAUUGUGUCACAGUAAAAAUUCUGUCGAUAGCUUUUUCAUGGUUUCAUGGUUUGUUUUGCAGCACAAGAAGCCCUCACCCACCCAAGCCCCUUCUAUCUUUCUGAGUUGUCAUCUACAGUGCAUCCUCGGUCUGCUUCCUGGCCGGAAGACUACAGACUGAGCUCUCAGCAUCAGACCUCUUCGUACAAAGUGUCAAAGAUAGAAGGGUUGAGGCUGGAGUGGGUUAUGGAGCGACAAAGCUUCUAUCCUAGCAGAUAUCCUUUUAUGAGAGAGAAAAGUGUUUCUAUGUGCCCUCUAGUAGACAGUCCGUUCUGGCUUCCAGGAAAAAUAGGAAUUAAAUAUAUUAAAAAUCUAGCAUCUUUGCCCUCAGAGCUUUUGGGCUUUGACAUUGAGGAAGAGAGGAUUGGAAAUAGCUGUGCAGUAGGGGACAAAGUGUCUUUGACAAAUUGCAAGAGUACUGCUGCUCUCACCAAAGGGGUUCUCAAUGUAUUUCCUAAUCAUAGUCUUCUUUUACUGAUGCCAAUAAAUAUAUAUUAUUUAUUUCAUUCCAAGAGCAUGGAGUUUAAAUAGACAACUGUCAAGACAGAGCAAACACCCCAGAAAUAAACUUAGAGCAAUUGAUGGUACCCUCUUUUGUUUAUAUAGUUCUUAGCUAAAUAGUAUCCCUGCCAGAGCUGUGCUUCAGUUUGUUCCAGUGAUUUCUUCAUUCCUUGUGGAGUCUAUAGGUGGAUAGGGGGUUCUCUUCAACACACAGCUGUUUCAUAGUCAUUCUUCACAUCUUACCUUUCACUCCUUGCAUUGCUUAAGUCUUUGCCUCUCUGUUCUCCUUUUUGCCUCUGUCAGAUAAUCAAAACUAGUGCUAAUUGGCACCUGCCUCACAAGUGCAAGGAACCGAGUUCGAUCCCUUGUACCAAAAAAAAAAAGCUCAAAAAAAACCUAGUGCUAAAAAAACUAAGAUCCACAGGUAUUUAUAGAGGAGGACUGGCAGAGCAAGGAGGACAUGGAGAUAUGUUAAUAUGGAGCUUUUAGAGCAAGAAUCCUGCUCCCCGUUCCCCAGCAUGAGACAGCUAUGCACCCUUUGGUUGAAACUGGAGAAAACUAGAGCCAGUGGGUGAGGUGGUGACUGACAGGUGCCACCUUUAUUAACUGAGCCAAAAAUAAGUGAGGAAAAUAAAAGAAGGGGAGGGAGCAGGACUGCAAUGACCGAUGGUUGAAUGAGCUAGGGCUUAUUUGCUAGGAGACAAGAGGGCUCUUGGUAUGUUCCCAGCAUGAGGGAAUCAGCACGCAUGAAAUAGAAGAGAGCUGGCAAUGAGGUGAUUUAAGUGGGUGAGACAAAUAAAACUCCACUGUCCCUUCCUGGGGUACAUGGCUUUCUAACUAUUAAAAUGUUUUGAGUGGAAUUUUAGGGGAUCUCUCACCUGAACUUUGAUAACUCACAAGGAUAGUCACGACUUACCAAGAGGAAGUUGCCAAACAAACCAACAAACCCAAUGUUCUUUAAAGAUUUUACUGGAAGGAUCAGCUCCUGUCUUUGAUAAAAGCCCAGUUCACUAUCUGAGUGUAAUCCCUGCCUCUCCUCGUGGAACCAUUAUGAGCAUUUCUUGUAGUGGCUCAUAAAAUAUGUUCUUUUCAGUCAGGCUGCAUAGCCCGCUCUCCCACCCAACACAACUCUCUGAUAAUUAAAAUAAAUAGAAUUUUAGAACAAGUUCUUAGGUCUGUGCACAAUGCCUGAUUCAGGAAAAUAUUGUUCUGGAAUUGCAUUGUGUGUUGGAUUUCUGAGAUAAACCAUCUGUGCCGGAAUUAUAUUAAUUCCAGUUGAUGCUAUUUUCUAAUAAGAAUAAACUAUUUAAAUAUUUUAGUAAUCAGUACUGCCCUAAUAGUAAAUACUGGCUAACCAAUAGCCAUAGUUCUAUCCUAUGUCAAUAGUACUAUCCAUAUUCUGGUUUCCUCUGUGAAAACAAAAUAUAUAUAUUAGAGACUCCUCUUACAAAAUAUUAUAUUUUCCAUGACUAAUAAUAUAUUUCUGGAUUUCUACACUUUCACAUUUCUUUUCAGGUGUUUAUAGAUAAGUAAUGAGAUCUUAACUUUAUAGGUAAAAAGGAUUAUUAGUUUUGAGGUAAUCUGUGUCAUUAACAACUUCAUGAAAAGCUACAGUUGUACACACUUGUUGAAGAGGAAUGAGGUACUGUACUAGAUGCUUUAUUGGCUUGAUAGGAUUUUUCUUGAAUUUCAUUUAAUUCCAUAAUCUUUGACCAAAGUCUGGUUAUGGAAUAACAAAUGUGACAUUGUCUUAUGACUUCCACUGCAAUAUGUACAAUUUGUAUAAACAUAAGCCAAUGUUUGGCUUUGGAAAGACUUUGUACAAACAUAAGCUAGUGUUUGGUCUGGAAAGCCAGUUUGUACAAACAUAGACACCCACCCACACAAAUUGUAACUCCAUUCCAAAAUAUGCACAACCCAAGGGAAAAGAAUAAAGUGUGGUGGAAGGACUAUAACCUUGAGCCACAGAGAGAACCAAAGUGAAUUCUGCCUCUGCCACUUUCUUACUCUGUGAAUUUAGAGUUUAUUUAAAUCAUAUCAACCACACUUUCUCAAUCAUUUCCUUAUUCAAUAUUUUUGAAUAGCUUGCUUAAGACAAAAGGUCAGGAGGCAUCAUGGGAAGAUCAUGGACCAAGAAUUGAAAUGAAUAUUUAUAUCUGUACACCACCUGAAAUAAAGACUGCAGACCAAGAAAGGAAAGAAAGGCUUUAGUCUAACAUAUUAAUGGACAGUGAUCAGCUUUGUAUUACUGAGUUAACAGUAUGUGAAAGUUUUUAAAACAAAAAUAUAUACUAUAUCAUAAAAGCUGCUGACACUGAGCCGUGAUGGAAUAACGAAAGUUCCAGCGCUAAUGAAAGUGGCUGUAACUCAAGCUGUGUGAUGCCUGGUGCCCAUCGACAUCCUUGGCAAAGGUUUAUUUGUGCUAUGUCCCAUUGACUGUACAUUUGGGUGUUUCUUCUGCAACUGGAGCUGCUGAUAAGAUACCUACUUGGAGUAAUGAUGCAUAAUGUGAAAAUGCAAUAACCUAGAACUCAUAAGUACGGACAAAUGCCAUCUCUUUAAAGGAAAUAGUUGCAAAAGUGAAGUGCAAUGUGCUGAGCCAUCUUCAAAGUCUUAGCCCUUUUCAUCAUUGCUGGGACAAAAUACCUGACAACUACAACUUCAAGGAAGAGAGAUUUUCAGUCCAUAAUUUGCUGGAUCCAAGGCAGGAUGCCAUGGCCUGGGGCAUAGUGGAAGAAAAGCUGCUUACAUAAUGGUGACAGAAAGCAGCAAGGGAAAGGAAGAACCAGGGGGGAAAUAUACCCUUUUGGUAACACCCCUAGUGACCCCACCUCCUAACAGCAAGUUAGCUAUCCUGGCCCCAUAAUUCAAUUAUUUUCUAAAAGUACCACCUAGGAGCAUAUGAACCUCUUGGAGGACAUUGUCUAUAAACCAUAACACUUCCUUUUCAAUUGUUUACUGAAUGAUUUCAACAACUUUUUUUUAGAAAAAAAAAUUAGGUCUUUUAAAGGAUAGUCCAAGUCAUUGCUGCCAGCUAGGAUACCAUAGGAGAAUUGGAUAACUCCAAGAGACUCCCUAUAGCUCCAUGUACAGAUAUGGGAAGGAAGGGGGCCUAGAAUGUGGAAUUAAUAGUGAGAGGCCAUAUAGAAAGCAGCAUUUCCUGGAAUUUCAUGCAAAGUAACUAAAUAUUAGUGGUAUAGUCUUAAGUCUGGAGUUGAGAGUCAGAAUUCAGAGGAAGCAUGGUAGGAGUGAAAUGGGAUCUCUCUUUUUUAUAGGAUGGAACCUAAGCAAUGGCCUUGGAUUGAAAACAAAGGGGAAAAGUCAUGGUAGUAUGGAUAAAGUUACAGAUCUCAAUCUGUACAGGCCUAUCUUUCAGAUCUCAGAACAGGACAUAAGGUUACUUAAAACCAAAUUUUACUGCAUCAGGCAAAAUAUUAUUAGUUUCAAAGAUCCCUUCUUCUCCAGUGCAAAUUGGUCUGGGAAAUAAAUUUCAUGUAGAAAUCGGGCAUGGGAAGUGGAGGCAAGUGGAACGUAAGGAUUAUGUUUUAAGUUAAAAUAUAGUUAACAAUACAGAUAAACUAGUUCAGAUAGUUACAGACAAAGCUCUUUCCUUACUACAGUGAUGCAGAGGCACUACUGGUGCUCUAUCUAGUUACCUGCAGUCCCUUUCACUGCUCUGUUGCACUACUGCAUGCUCUGCUGCUUCUCCUUGGGAUGACCUUGGCUGAUGGAAUCAUUUCCCAGGUGGCAGGCACACUCUGUUGCAUAUUUUAUGCUCUAGUGAUCGCUACUUGAGGUUGAGCUGGGGUUUAUUUGAUGUUGUACCCUAUCUGAUGUCCUCUUCCACUGCCUCACUCUUUUUCCUAGAACUUUCUUAAUUCUUCUGUCUUCUUAUUCUCAAACUCACCUGAGUCUUUCUCUCACAUUAUGUUUCCAGCAAAAUAUCCCUACUUAGGGAAAUGGUAAAGAUAUAAUCAUAGGAACAUAGAUUCUAUGCCAUAGAGAGUUAAUUGUAGGUUUGAGAAUGCAACAGCAUUUGGAUGUAUCAGAUGCUUUGUUGUAAAGCUCUCUAUUUUGGUUGUUUUUUCAUGAUUGGACUGUCAAAUACAAUUUCAGUCUUAUUGUCAUUACCACAGUUUAGCUUUUGACUCUGUGUUUGGUGACUCACAAACUUAGCUUAGAAAUAGAAUACUCCUUUCCAAGCAACCUCUUUUAUAUAAAAACAGAAUCAAGCAAUAUUAGCCUCUUGCUAUUGUGUACUUACCUUUGUAUUCAAUAAUCCUUCCAUACUGCAGUACUGUUGUUCCCAGUUUAUUACUGAAAAUUUAAUAGUAUUUAAUUAAAAUCUGGAAAUGUGCUUUCAAUUCUAUUACCCUAAAAAGUAGGGGAAAGAAAGGCUCAUCUUUACCAUUUGCAUUAUACUGGAAAUUGUUAAACACUUAAUCUUCUUGCAUAGUGGUUCUGUGCUUUUAAGAGGAUUACAUUAUUAAUUGUUUAAUUAUUCAUUAUGCUGCAUUUUGCCUUUCAGUACAAAAGCUUUUUUUAAAAUUAAUUUAAUGUUUUAUCCUUCUUAGCAGUCAUUCUUUGUACUGGGCUCUCUGUUCUUUCAUGAUAGGAUGUCGUACAAAGAAUCAAGAGGAUACCUUGUUGAAAGCUAAGCUUGUAGUUCUAGCAAAUAGAUCUUUUGCCAGAGCAAUGACUCAACAUGCCACCAAGCAACUGAGUCUUGCUGCACUCUAGAGACUGUGGUUAGAAAUAUGUCACCAGCAAGAGCACAUUAAUCAUAAUUGUAGGAGUGGCAGUCAGUUUCUCGACCUUAUUGAGAUAGGCAGGGAGGUCAGUGCUUCAGGCAGUUCAUCCUUCAAGCAAGGAAAAUUAUUGGGAAGAUUUUUUUGUUUUGUUUUAAUCACUGGCAUUUUUUUAAAAUCCCAUCAUUUCCCCGCAGUCUGGGCAGAAGUACAAAAGCUUCAGGCAGCUACAGUCUGGCUCUUUUUCUUUUUCUCUUGCCAAAAGUAACCUUGACAAUUGAUGGGUUAGGGCAAAGUUAUGAUGCCCACUUUCGGCUGUUUUUUGUCAUCCGACCUGCCUUCUUUUGCUCUUUUUUUCUUUCUUCAUACCUCUUUUGGGGUCUAAAGACAAAGAGGGUAGAAAGAGUGACCUUAAUGGAGUCUGAUGUUAGCAGCCCUGCUCGUUUUUCUGCAUUGAUUGUAGGGGCAUACAGCAAGCAGAGUUCUUCCCACAGUGGUCAGUCCUGCGAGGCCAAGUAGAAGAGAGCUAGUGCUGCCACUGGAGCCUGUCCCAUGGCAGUGCCUUCUGUCCAGCACCCUAGAGGAGACGUCAUAAAAGAAAAACACCCAAGAUGACAAGAACUCAAAGACCUAAGCUUGUAUAUCUGAGUCCAUAGUAGGAUGUUGAAUAAAAAUUGACUUCAUACAGAAAGAAGUCAUACUAAUAUUAUAACAAAAGACAUUUAAAAUUAACAACUCCAUGUGUGAAGGGAGAUUUCAGUCAUUCAUUUGUGUUAUUACUAUACCAGGCUCAUAGCACGGUCUUAGGGAAGCCGAGUUUAAGAAGCAGGACAUGGGCUUAUAUUUGUAGUGUUUAUAUAUUCUUGGUGAAUGGGAGACGGGUAGAUAAGUAAAAAUAGAAAAAAAUUUAAAAUUGUGAUAAUAAUAGUAAUUCGAAAGUGACAUGAGAGAGCAUGGUGAGGGGCUUAGGAACUGCUACCCUAAGAAACUAUAAUAUAAAUACAUGUUUACAAAUACUUUAUUGAAAUUUUCAGAUGAUUCUGAAUGUUUUAAUUUAUCAAUAAAAGAUAAUCGAUA